rnacentral:rRNA from 1 species
CGUCUAUAUACGUAUAGCAUAUCAAUAAGCGGAGGAAAAGAAACUAACAAGGAUUCCCCUAGUAACGGCGAGUGAAGCGGGAAGAGCUCAAAUUUGAAAUCUUCAAGGGUUUCCCUUGACGAAUUGUAGUUUAAAGAAGUGUUUUCUGUUAGAGAGGUGGUAAAAGUUCUUUGGAAUAGGACAUCAUAGAGGGUGAGAAUCCCGUAUUUGAUCACUUUCUACUAACGUUGUGAUACACUUUCAAAGAGUCGGAUUGUUUGGGAAUGCAGUCCAAAAUGGGUGGUAAAUUUCAUCUAAAGCUAAAUAUUGGCGAGAGACCGAUAGCGAACAAGUACCGUGAGGGAAAGAUGAAAAGGACUUUGAAGAGAGAGUUAAACAGUACGUGAAAUUGUCAAAAGGGAAGCGUUUGACACCAGUGUUGUUUUUCCGAAAAUCAAUUAUGAAUGGCUUGAUUUUAAGUUUCAUGACCUUAAAAGCUUGUUUCUUAUUUUUCAUGUCUCUCGUAAUGCACUUUUCGGUUAACAAGUCAACAUCAAUUUCUUUUGUUGUAAAAGGUUAAGAGGAAGGUGGCUUCACUUCGGGUGAAAGUGUUUAUAGCCUUUUAACCUCUGCAAUCGGAGAGAUUGAGGUCUGCAGCGUAGACUCUUCGGGGUUAGAUACAUUUGUGCUAAGUUAUAGCUUUUCAUAGACAACUUGUUGACUAUGAUUUAAUCAUUGUAGCUUACUCGCUUAUGCUAUUUUACCUACGCUUAGGAUGUUGAUAUGCAUGACUGAUAU